UCCCAAGACGAGUCAUGCAAUUGGUGGAUCCAGUACUUUUCACAAUCGAAGAACUAGGGGCACGAACGACUAUGGGAGAAAGUAUGGAUGACAACGGCAUUGAUGUACUCAAAUAGAGAUCCAAGAGCAAGAUUUCUGCAUUGAAAAUUUUGGAUCAAAGGGAGACAAUGUGAAAAAAUGUGUGGUAUAAGUCCUUGAACUAGGACUUGCAUG
rnacentral:misc_RNA from 1 species